rnacentral:lncRNA from 1 species
GAGAAGUAAUUCCUCCAAAGGUGGAUAUUGAGGGAGAAACAGAAAAAUCCAAGACAAUCCCUUGUGGAAGAAAAUUCUCCAACCCAAAACUCAACCGAACUCAAAGGGCUGAACAGCGCGUCAAUUAAGACCUGUCAAAUAUAAUCACACGAUCUAAUAGUUUUAAAUACGCAAAAUAAAGAGCACCAAAGUAAAUGUCAUUCAGAAAUAACAACAACAAAACCAGAGCACCCCGAUGCAUUUAGGCCUCAAGGAAUUCCAAAGUAGUGUAUUAGGUAUAGUAAAUAUAUAUGUAAUUAGAAAUGUUUAGAGAAAUUAGAGAGAUGUGUUUUUUUUAAAAGAUUUGGCCUAUAAAACAGUUAACAAUUCCAGUAAAGAAG